rnacentral:misc_RNA from 1 species
AAGCAGGUCUGAUACAAUGCAAUGAGGACGUAGCUCGAAAAUGAGACUUUCCAUUGGUUUUUGAAGCAGAGGGAUUCCCAUGAACACACUUAUAGCCAUUUCUUGGCUGGUGGCAGCACUGAAGUUUUCAAUCCCUUCAGCUAAGCCUACUUCAUCAGAUGGAAAUUUAAGUUUGUGGACGGAUAUUUCGUGGCCUAAUUCAGUAGCAUGAUCGAUUGAGGACUCGAAAAGGAGGGCGUUGUAGGGGGUUGUGAUGAUACUAACUUUGACACCAUGACUAGCAAAAAGUCUAGCAAUAUCAACUAAUGGGAUCAUAUGACUUGGUGUGAAAUAUGGAAUGAAAACUACAUGAAGUGUUU